UGAGGAAUAUUGCGCAAUGGAGGAAACUCUGACGCAGCCAUACCGCGUGUAGGAAGAAUGUCCUAUGGAUUGUAAACUACUUUUAUACAAGAAGAAACCUUGGUACGUGUACCAAGCUGACGGUAUUGUAAGAAUAAGCACCGGCUAACUCCGUGCCAGCAGCCGCGGUAAUACGGAGGGUGCAAGCGUUAUCCGGAUUUAUUGGGUUUAAAGGGUCCGCAGGCGGGAUUCUAAGUCAGUGGUGAAAGCCUACAGCUCAACUGUAGAACUGCCAUUGAUACUGGAAUUCUUGAGUGUGGUUGAAGUAGACGGAAUAUGUCAUGUAGCGGUGAAAUGCAUAGAUAUGACAUAGAACACCAAUUGCGUAGGCAGUUUACUAAACCAUUACUGACGCUCAUGGACGAAAGUGUGGGGAGCGAACAGG
rnacentral:rRNA from 1 species